rnacentral:rRNA from 1 species
UACGUAGGGUGCGAGCGUUGUCCGGAAUUAGUUGGGCGUAAAGGGCGCGUAGGCGGCAUGACAAGUCACUUGUGAAAUCUCCGGGCUUAACUCGGAACGGCCAAGUGAAACUGUCAAGCUAGAGUGCAGAAGGGGCAAUCGGAAUUCUUGGUGUAGCGGUGAAAUGCGUAGAUAUCAAGAGGAACACCUGCGGCGAAGGCGGGUUGCUGGGCCGACACUGACGCUGAGGCGCGAAAGCGUGGGGAGCAAACAGG